rnacentral:misc_RNA from 1 species
GAUGAAGAACGCAGUGAAAUGCGAUAAUUAAUGUGAAUUGCAGAAUUUAGUGAAUCAUCGAAUCUUUGAACGCACAUUGCGCCCCUUGGUAUUCCGGGGGGCAUGCCUGUUCGAGCGUCAUUUCAACCCUCAAGCUCUGCUUGGUCUUGGGCCGCGCUGGCAACGGCGGGCCUCAAAAACAGUGGCGGCGCCAUCUGGUCCCUCAGCGUAGUAAUUCUUCUCGCUGCUGGGCCCCGGUGGCCGCUUGCCAGCAACCCCAAACUUUCUAUGGUUGACCUCGGAUCAGGUAGGGAUACCCGCUGAACUUAAGCAUAUCAAUAAGCGGAGGA